GGGCAAUUAGCUCAGUGGUAGAGCGUUUCAUUGACAUUGAAAAGGUCACAGGUUCAAUCCCUGUAUUGCCCA
rnacentral:tRNA from 2 species